AACGAAGUUCGCGGUGGCAGCUAGUUACAUAUAUAUAAAAUAAAUAAAAACAUAAAAUAGCCUUUAAAUUCUUACAGCAUAUAAAACAAGAAGAUAGUUUACUUACAUAUAAUUAUUAAUCAUGUUAGUAAUUAAGUUUGUAUCCUAAAUUUACUUGUGUUAGUUUUGCCUUAACCUUACUAUUAAACUAUUAUUCUUCAUUCUGUAAGAACUCCUCUGUAGGUGAAGGCCUCCUCCAAAUAUAGCCAGUCCUCUGUAGAUUGGGCUACUUGAAUCCAGUUGGAACCAGCUGUUUUUAUGAUGGCGUCUUCCCAGCUAGCCACUGGUCCAUAAGUUCUACCUCUUUCUUUUACCCUGUGCACCCGCCCAUGUUACCGGUCACCGUUUUCGUCCAUCUCUUGUCUCAGUUACAUAUAUAUAUUACAUAUAAUAUAGUAGUUAUUCAAUUCAUUCCCAUACCCAGUAGCUAUUGCUUUACUAACAAUAAUUUUCAAUAUAAUUGUUUUUUCUUGAUAAAAUUUCAAGUUAAUGAUGCGUAAAGGAAAUUAAUAUGAUUAAAAAUAACUUUGAUGUGAAAGCAUAAUGAUACUUUUACUUUUCUGUGGAAUCAAAUUAUAUAUAUUUGUAUCAGUACAAUGUGAAACGUUAAACAGUCCACUGUUGGUCGUACUAAGCAAGCAGCACAGUCAGGAAUUGCCAAUAUUAAGAAUGAACAACAAAGCACUAACCCCGAAACCUACGAAGAUAAACCUGAUUCACACUAAUAAAAUGAUAGAAAUUAUAAACUUUAUGAAAGAUCACUAUCUAUCAACAAAUUAUUUUUACGAAGAAAUGUUAAGGAUCGAAAAGACACACACAAUCAAAGACAAAUUGAGAAAAAUGGUAACAUUUUUAGAGCGUCCUGGUAAUAAGGAUUUAAGAAAAAAUGUGCUGCAAUAUUAUUGGAAGACGAAAACUUUACUUCAAAAGGCUAAAAAGAAAGACCCAUGGAGAGUUAAGCCAAAUGACGUAGUUAUAAAUUAUUUGAAGGAUCCUUUUAAUUAUUGAUUAAAAUACAGUACGCAUUUGA